rnacentral:rRNA from 1 species
UCAGACGAUGCGUCAUGCAUAUCAAUAAGCGGAGGAAAAGAAACUAACAAGGAUUCCCUUAGUAACGGCGAGUGAAGCGGGAAGAGCUCAAAUUUGAAAUCUUCAAGGUUUUACCUUGACGAAUUGUAGUUUAAAGAAGUGUUUUCUGUUGAAGUUUUGGUAAAGGUUCUUUGGAAUAGGACAUCAUAGAGGGUGAGAAUCCCGUAUUUGACCAUUAUUUUCAGCUGUGUGAUACACUUUCAAAGAGUCGGAUUGUUUGGGAAUGCAGUCCAAAAUGGGUGGUAAAUUUCAUCUAAAGCUAAAUAUUGGCGAGAGACCGAUAGCGAACGAAGUACCGUGAGGGAAAGAUGAAAAGAACUUUGAAAAGAGAGUUAAACAGUACGUGAAAUUGUCAAAAGGGAAGCGUUUGACACCAGUGUUGUUUUCUCGAAAAUCAAUUAAAAAGAGUUAGAUUUUGUUGUGUAUUGACCUUAACAGCUUGCAUUUCAAUUUUCUUGCUUUUUUUAAUGCACUUUUCGUUUAACAAGUCAACAUCAGUUUCUUUUGUUGUAAAAAGGUCAUUGGAAGGUGGCUUUCUUUUCGGAGAAAGUGUUUAUAGCCUUUGACUCCUACAAUCGGAGAGACUGAGGUCUGCAGCGUAGAUCCUUCGGGGUUAGAUACAUUUGUGCUAAGUUAUAGCUUUUUAUAGACAACUUGUUGACUAUGAUUAGUCUUGUAGCUUACUCGCUUAUGCUAUUUUACCUACGCUUAGGAUGUUGAGUCGUAGAGCACGCAG